CACAUUUAAUUUUAUUAUUAUUGUUUGUUUUAAAUGAUAUUAUUAUGGACUUUUAGAUUUCAACUUCAAACUACAUAUUAUGUACUAUAACAGGUGUAGAAAGUGGAUGUUUGAAGACAUGUCUUAGAUUCAAAUGCCCUGUGUGAAAUUAUGUCUUUGAACAGAUAUUACUUUGUAGUGUCUCCAAUAUAGGAAUUUGUACAUUUAAAACUUACAAAGAUUUAUUUGAUGUAGCUAAAUCAACUUUAGUUUAUUAACAAAUGUAUGUUUAUCAA